rnacentral:rRNA from 1 species
CUUGUUGACCAUUGCAGCGAGCGCACUGCCGCAGUGCGUCCUCCUCGGCAGCGUGGGGGCACGGCUAGGGCCAUGGAAACUUGUGUUGUCUCCUUUACAGGCUCCUAGCAUCGCUGCCGCUCGGCCAUUGCCUCACCGUGGAGAGAGAUGGGUCAGGUGGCGCGGUAGUGGGUUAGUGGCGGUGCACAGGAGGUGAAGGAGGAAUCCUUUCCUGACGCCGAGGCGAGACGAACAAGUGUCGCAUGGAACAAAUCCCCUAGCACCGACCCGCAGAGGCGCGACUCAGCGACGACACAACGGGGCAGAGGAGCAAAGAUGGGUGGGGACCUGGGGUGCGAUGCAGCAUCGCAGAGGAGGCGGGUGUGAGGGCGGAGGCGGCGACACGACGGAAGGCGAAGGCUGAGCAGAUCAAGCUAGGAUGGACUGAGGGAUCAGGGGCGCUUAUCUCUGCUGAUGGCGGACACCCGCGGCGUUAGGCAGAAGAGGAUCAGGAUUAGGGGAAGGAGCCGAUAGGUUGGAGAGAUCAGCGAACUGACGUGUAUGGUCAAACCAACUCUGUCU